rnacentral:rRNA from 1 species
UACGUAGGGGGCAAGCGUUAUCCGGAUUUACUGGGUGUAAAGGGAGCGUAGACGGCAUAGCAAGUCUGAAGUGAAAGCCCGUGGCUCAACCGCGGAACUGCUUUGGAAACUGUUAAGCUGGAGUACUGGGGAGGCAAGCGGAAUUCCUAGUGUAGCGGUGAAAUGCGUAGAUAUUAGGAGGAACACCAGUGGCGAAGGCGGCUUGCUGGACAGAGACUGACGUUAAGGCUCGAAAGCGUGGGGAGCAAACAGG